GGUGUUAUAAUUGUAAUUUAUUUGUUUAAGAGCAUCCGCAACUGUUGAACUCCAUCUCUAAUUUGUGGGUGGGUCUUCGGUCUUUCAGUCCGAGCCAAUAGACUCUGUAGCAGUAAGAGAAAUCUUCGCACCUGGCUCGCCCUAAGUCUUUUGGUAGUGCAACCACGUGGCUGAGACGCCCUACCUCCACGCUUGGCGUGCAAAGUCGCACCUCAACUCCUAGCCUCUCCCCCAGUAAUACUAAUAUGCUGCUCGUACGAAUCGGGCCCGUACCUGCUCUGUCAACUAUAGUGUGAUUGCUCUAAAAUUUAUGCCUUCAAAUGCAGUUUUUUAACAUUUGAUUAUUUAAAUUAUGUUGGAUUUUAUAAAUUAUUAUUAUAUAGUGUCAUUAUUAUUCUCAGUUUAAAUGUCAAAGUGUUAUUUGAUCUUAUUAAUUGAUUGGAAUUAUGGUAAAAUUUGUGGAUAACAUGCUAAAUUUCUAAGAGAGUUACUGUUUAGGUAUUUAAAAAAAAAAAAGCCACACACUAAACAAAACUGUGUCUAUAUGUACAUAUAUAUUUUUGAGGCGAGGUAUUGAAGUUGAUGACCAAAUAAACACAAAUUAGAAUAAUGACAAACAAGGAACACUUUUUUGCGAGAAGACAAACAAGAAACCUAAUUAAAUGAAUACAUUUUGUUAAUAUUUUAAUUAGUAGUGAUAUAAUAAAUAAACUAAGCUAAAAAGAUCAACGUAAUCAUCCUGCCAUCUUGGCAUUAAUUAAUAGUUCAAACAUCAUUUUCAAAGAUGAUAAUCUUACCCAACAAUAAUCAUUUCGAUAAACCUACUCCAUCUUUUGAAAUCGUCGUAAAAUAAAAACAGAUAGACAGCUAAUAUUUAACAACAUGAGUAUUGCUUAUGUAUUCAAUUUUCUCAAGAGUCAAAUGAAACUUCAAAGAUAUGAGUAAUAUCUAACUAUACUUUAUACAUGUAGAAUAUAAUAAUGAUACUUUAUGACUAACUAGAACAAUAUUUGAAAAAAUUACAAAACUACGACCUAUUAAUUUCAACCCAACCCCCCGCCCCUUCCAAAAAUAAAAUAAAAAUGAAAGCUAUUUCAUCCUAUUUUGUGGUUAAAUGAACUAUAAAGAUAUUCAUUGUCAUGUGAUGUAGAAUUUGAUUAUCCUACACUAAAUUAAUACAUAGUUCUCACAUAAAGUUGCUAGCCAAUAUAUUCAAUAUAAUCACAAAUUUUAUAUGAUUUCAGAAACCUCAAACCCAAUACAAUAUAAGUAUUUUUACAAUGAAAAAUGUCACUAAUUGAACCGAUCACAUUUAACUCCAUUUGAAGGUUUGAUUUUUUUUUUUCUUUCGAAGACACGUUAUAUUCUAUAUUUCCUAGUUAAUAACACGAUUUACAUAACAAGUGAACGACUGCUAUAUAUUAGAUACAAUAAUAUCACUGCACAAAAUUUUGAUUACGAGCAUCUAUAACAUGCAUCAUGUAUUGCAUAUUGAUAAAAAUAUUUAAAUACAUUAAUCAUUUGUAUAACUAAUAAUGAUAAUUGGUGUGGUUUAGAAGUCGCGCUUGCGUGCGAUGUAGUGACUGAUUUAAUUAUAUAUAUAUAUAUAUUAAAAAUAAAAACAAUAAUGAUAAUAAUAAAUAAAUACCUAGUAAAGUACCAAAUUUGCUACAUUACCAAUCAUAAAAACCUCAUAUAUCAACAAAGAUUUUGAUUAUAACUCAAAUAAAAUAUUGUGUUGGAAUUUCUACCAAAAAAAAAAAAAAUCCCGUGUUGGAAUUGGACAAUCCCAAUUGUCCCACACGAAUAUUUGUACAAAAAAUAUUAGAGGCAUUCUUGUGUGCUCCAUAACACUAACACUUGCAUUAAAUGACACUAACACUAACACUAUUUUGUUUUAUAAAUGACACUAUUGCAUUAAAUGACACUAACACUAUUUUAUUUUACAAAUGACACUAACACUAACACUAUCUUGAAAUGACACUAACAAUAUUCUGUUUUACAAAUAACACUAUCAUAUUAUAUAAAUAACAUUGUCGCAAAAUGACACUAACACUAUAACAUGAUAAUGUCAUUUAUAAAACAAAAUAGUGUUAGUGUCAUUUCAAGAUAGUGUUAACGUUAUGGAGCAUGGUGCUCCAUGGAGCACACAGGAAUUUGCAAAAAUAUUAUACCUUCAUUAUAAAUAAAUUAUACUCAUAAUAAAACUAAAAAUAAAAAUCAAAUCUUGCUAUGUUCUUCCAAGAAUCACCCGACCAAAAAACUAUUUACAAAUUUACAAGUCAACAGCAGCAACUCCUACGUUUUCAUUUGACUAAUCUCUAGUCCUCUUCCUCCAGAUUCCCUUUUACUACUUCAACAAUUUUAUACUGUAUUUUUAUCUGUAUUUUUGCUUAGAAUAAUUCUAAAUUAUUGAACAAAGACUCGAGCAAUUCAAUGAGGUUGAGCCACGGCACCUUUUUUGUUUGGUAUUUGUUUUUUGCUUUUUCAGCUAAGAACUGUAGUUAAUCACACCCAAAUACCCUAUAUAUACACCAAAAAAAAUCCGAUUUUGAGCUUUGAAGAAGAACACCUUUUCAAGUUUGUUCGCGAUCCGUUUGUGAAAUUGCGAGGAUGGGCGUUUGUGGGUCGAAGCCGAAAGGGUGUGUGGGGAUGAAGGGGAAGUUGAAUUUGCAGAAGAAGCGCAAGAAGCAGAGAACGGGAAGAGUUAAGAAGGCGCAUUCUGCGAAUAAUCGACAUCGCGUUGAACCCUCAAAUCAGAAGGAUGUUUCCUUCACCAAUCCUGCAUUUCAAGGUUCUGAUUUAGUUGCUUAAUUUUCUGCUUUUUGGGGGUUGAUUGUUUGGGUGUUUGCGGGAAUCCCAAAUUUUGAAUUUGUUGAUCCUUUUGUGCUCAAAUUUCUAUGUUGUUCCUUUUCUCCAACUGGGAAAUGUUUGAAUUUUGAGAUUUAGUUUUUACGAAUAUAAAUGCAAUUUUAUAAUUGUGCUUUUUCUGGGAUUGAUAUUUGAUUCUUCAGAUUUUUAUAUUUUUUUCAUAGUUACUUAAUUUUUGUGAAUUUUUAUUGAAUAGGAAGCAGUGAGGCAUGGUUCGAUCCUGAUGGAUUGAUUGAUUCAGAUGGAGAAGAUGAAUUUUAUAGUGUUCAAGACGGUUAGUUUUUAGCCAUUUUCACCUUUUUUGAUCCAAAAAUAUAAUCUAAUUGAAAUUGUGUUCAUUUCUGUUGUUAUACAUUGUUGAUUUGAUUUGAGAUGUUGCAGAUGUAUCUCAAACUGGAUCCUUAUCAAAUGUGGUUACUCCGAGGUUUUCCAACCAAGUGAUGCAGGGCAACGCCAUUGAUUCGCAGCUGAGCUCCGAUGAUCCUCAAAAUGCGGACGAGAGUGGCAGGAGGAGCGAGGAGGGAGUGAUGCAUAGCUGUGGGUUCAUAUCGAACGCCUUGCUCCCUUGCCUCGCCUGUGAUGAGUCCUUUGACGGGAGGAAGAAAUUAGAUGAGCCCGUGGAAGGGAAGAAGAAAUUGGCAAGUGCGGCAGGCUCGAGCACGAAGAAAAAGAUGUCUUUCACUCAGUCUUUUAAAUGGAGAGAAGGACACGAAAAUGCAGUCUUAUGUAAGAACCUUUUCUUGAAUCUUGAUUGCUAUAUUACGAGAUGAUGUGAUCUCUGCAAUUUUGUUGAAAAUGUCUACUUUCUAGCUUCGUUUGACUCGAGAAAAUGAUCUAUGAAGUGACUUAGUAUAGUUAGUGUAAGAUUUGAAAGUGUUUCUGUGUCGUGAUCAAUCUGACUGUCUCAGCGCUGGGAAAGCCCGUUAUACAAAGACCAAUAGCCGGCUCACAGAUUAUUUGUUCGCCAUUAGAGAAGAAGAUGUCAGAAUCUUGGUCAAGGAUCGAGCCAAAUACCUUUAGAGUCCGUGGACGAAACUACAUGAGGUGAGAACACGUUUUCCCUUACCCCGUUUUUGAAUCUUUGUUGAAAAUCUACUGAUCAGGUAAUCCGAAAAUCGCCAUUUUUUGUGUUUGGCAGGGACAAAAAGAAAGAACCUGCUGCAAAUUAUGCUGCAUAUGUUCCUUUUGGAGUGGAUGUCUUUUUAUCUCCUCGGAAAAUUGAUCAUGUCGCCCGAUUCGUAGAACUCCCAGCUGUCGACUCACAUGGAGAAAUCCCCACUAUUCUUGUUGUGAACCUUCAGGUAUAUAUAUCUAUUGUAACUAUUACCUGUCUGUAUAUAUCAGCCUCAAAUAAGAAACGUCUGCACAGUAUUGAAUCUGAGAUCAUUCGUGUUUUGCUCACUUUUUGCAUCUUAUGUAUGGCUCUGUCAGAUUCCGCUUUACCCUGCAACACUUUUCCAAAAUGAAUAUGACGGGGCAGGGAUGAAUUUCGUUAUCUAUUGCAAGCUUUCGGAGAACUAUUCGCAAGAUCUUCCACUUCAUUUUCGGGAAAAUAUCAAGGUAAGGAGGAGGCAUCUCCGACUCUCGUACCAGUAACUUUUAUUUUGCUUGCCUACAGCCUUAAUUUCUACGAGCCUCAAACUCGUGUUAUGGAAGCAAAAGGUUGAAUCUGCUUUCCCUUCUUCGUGUUGAGCAGAAAAUAAUUGCCAACGAGACUGAGAAGAUUAAGGGUUUUGCCAUAGACACGAAUGCACCAUUCAGGGAAAGAUUAAAGAUCUUAGGCCGAGUCAUGAACGUUGAUGACCUUCAGUUGAGUUCAGCAGAGAGGAAACUUAUGCAUGCUUACAACGAGAAGCCAGUUCUUUCGCGUCCUCAACACGAGUUUUACUUGGUAAAGUAGUCUUUUUUGUUGAUAUAUUGAUAUGACCUCGUUUACUUCUAGGUUUAAAUUAAUACAUCAAUCACUCAUCUACUACAUUUCAUGAAAUUUAUGGAUUUUUGCCUUAUAUAUAUAUAUAUAUAUAUAUAUAUAUAUAUAUAUAUAUAUAUAUACUUAGUAGUACUAGUACGUAUUAGUUNAUUUACUUUGAAGCAUGACUAUUAGGAUUAGGAUGUCUCAUACUAAAAUUAAACUUGUCACGAUUGUCGGGGUACCAAUUUUUGAGGAUAGUUUGGUCAAUAUGUGCUCGACUCGUGUUGCAAUCGUAAGUGCCGAUUUCUAUUUGUAUAUCCCACGAUUUCCAUCCAUCGUAGUAUAUGGAUCAAGUGGGAUUCUUAUAAAUCCAAACUUACGAAUGAAAGUGAAAAAGACUCGAAUAAUGAUUCAAAUGUAAUUUCAGACUACUUGAGGGGUUCGAUCUAAGCUACAUAAAUGAUUGUGUCUGUGUUUCUCUAACCACGAGAUCUGAUCAAGCGCAAUCUUUGCAGGGAGAAAACUACUUAGAGAUCGACUUGGAUAUCCACAGAUUCAGCUACAUUGCACGGAAAGGAUUUGAAACGUUCCAAGACAGACUCAAGCACUGUGUAUUCGACUUUGGUCUGACAGUUCAGGUUAGAUACUCGAAUCCAUCCUAAUCGAACCUAUAAUUUAUAAAAAAUAAAAUGCACAGUUCUUCACGUCUACGUGCAACGUGGUGCAGGGAAACAAACCAGAAGAUCUACCAGAGUGCAUGUUAUGCUGUCUACGGUUGAAAGAAAUCGACUACUCUAACUACUGCCAACUUAGCUUCUGACGAGGUAACGUGUGCCUCAAUUCCGUGACAUUGAUUGAGCUAUAAGGCGCAAAACCCUAUUCUCGGACGAGUUUUUCUUGUAUUUCCGAUGGCUGAAUCUCAAGAUUUUGGUGUCUGUUCAACUGCUGCAGGUGCCUGAUGUCUAAGUGUACAGAUAUAUAUUGUAAUGUAUUUACAAUAUAGUUUUGUUCAAAUUUUAUGAAGAAUUACACCCUCCUAAUUCUAGGUUUGGGUAUUUAUGUUGUAAUUCUUGUAUUAUCAUUCAUAUUCCUAGGUUGAGCUUUGAUCACAUUGUCUUCUUGUAGUUCCCAUGAAUAAGAAAAAGACAAAGGACCCUUCGGGAUCCUAUAUUUUUUGUCGUUCUAUCUCGUAUUUUAUUUCAUCAAUGUACCGAUCCGACUCAUCGGAAGAUGAGGAUCGAAGUAACAAUUCCUUUUAUUUACAAAUAUUUACAUGGAGGAACAUAAUGUUCCAUUCUUGCAUCAAAAUUCACAAACUAGAUGCCUAAUAUUUUCAGCAUUAUAUCUACAACAAAUUGCCAAAAACAAGAUAAAAAUAAAAGGGGAAAGAAAAGUGUGACAUGCAUCUAUGUCAUAAAUAUUUAGAGCCAAUUGAUGGUAUAAGCCUCUAGGCUGCCGGCGACCGGGUGCACCGGCCGAAAAUUGAGAAAAAACCGCACCUGUGGAGUUUGCGUUCCGACGUGGAGGGCGGGGGAGGGCGUGGCAUCAUCGGG
rnacentral:lncRNA from 1 species